GAUGAACGCUGGCGGCGUGCCUAAUACAUGCAAGUAGAACGCUGAAGCUUGGUGCUUGCACCGAGCGGAUGAGUUGCGAACGGGUGAGUAACGCGUAGGUAACCUGCCUCUUAGCGGGGGAUAACUAUUGGAAACGAUAGCUAAUACCGCAUAAAAGUUGACAUUGCAUGAUGUUGAUUUGAAAGAUGCAAUUGCAUCACUAAGAGAUGGACCUGCGUUGUAUUAGCUAGUUGGUGAAGUAACGGCUCACCAAGGCGACGAUACAUAGCCGACCUGAGAGGGUGAUCGGCUACACUGGGACUGAGACACGGCCCAGACUCCUACGGGAGGCAGCAGUAGGGAAUCUUCGGCAAUGGGGGCAACCCUGACCGAGCAACGCCGCGUGAGUGAAGAAGGUUUUCGGAUCGUAAAGCUCUGUUGUAAGAGAAGAACGAGUGUGAGAGUGGAAAGUUCACACUGUGACGGUAACUUACCAGAAAGGGACGGCUAACUACGUGCCAGCAGCCGCGGUAAUACGUAGGUCCCGAGCGUUAUCCGGAUUUAUUGGGCGUAAAGCGAGCGCAGGCGGUUAGAUAAGUCUGAAGUUAAAGGCUGUGGCUUAACCAUAGUACGCUUUGGAAACUGUUUAACUUGAGUGCAGAAGGGGAGAAUGGAAUUCCAUGUGUAGCGGUGAAAUGCGUAGAUAUAUGGAGGAACACCGGUGGCGAAAGCGGCUCUCUGGUCUGUAACUGACGCUGAGGCUCGAAAGCGCGGGGAGCAAACAGG
rnacentral:rRNA from 1 species